rnacentral:tRNA from 1 species
AACUAAUAAGCUUUCAAAAAGCAAAUGUUUUGAAAACAUAAGAUAAAGGAAUAAUUACCUUAUUAGUUU